AACAGGGCUGCGCGCUGUUCCUCUUCCACUGCGCCCUCAACCGAAGCGUCAGACGAGUGGCGAUGAGAAAGUUCAAGUCUAGCCAACUCUUCGAUCGCUGCGUUCCGGUGCAAUGGCGGCAGAACAGCAACGCCGAAGAGCGCGGCAGUUCCUCUACUGUGAACUCCGAGAGCCGGGUGAUAGCCACAAUCUUUGGCAAACGCGGAAGUGUGUCUUUCGCUUCCGGCGAAGCAGCCGUGCACGACCCGAUGGCGGGAAAGUUCACCAGCACCAUAGACAGCAG